rnacentral:rRNA from 1 species
UACGUAGGGCGCAAGCGUUGUCCGGAAUUAUUGGGCGUAAAGAGCUCGUAGGCGGCCUGUUGCGUCCGCUGUGAAAGCCCGGGGCUUAACCCCGGGUCUGCAGUGGAUACGGGCAGGCUAGAGGUAGGUAGGGGAGAAUGGAAUUCCCGGUGUAGCGGUGAAAUGCGCAGAUAUCGGGAGGAACACCGGUGGCGAAGGCGGUUCUCUGGGCCUUACCUGACGCUGAGGCACGAAGGCCAGGGGAGCAAACGGG